rnacentral:rRNA from 1 species
AGGAUGAACGCUGGCGGCGUGCCUAACACAUGCAAGUCGAACGUCCUGUCUCGCAAGAGGCAGGGAGUGGCGGACGGGUGAGUACCACGUGGGUCAUCUACCGUGAGGUGAGGAAUACCGGCGAGAAAUCGCCGACAAGACCGCAUAGGCUCGAUGCAAGUCGAGCAAAGCUCUUUCGAGAGAGGGAGCGCCACACGAGGAGCCUGCGCCCGAUUAGCUAGCUGGUGGAGUAACGGUUCACCAGGGCGACGAUCGGUAGCUGGUCUGAGAGGACGAUCAGCCACACUGGGAUUGAGAACGGCCCAGACUCCUACGGGGGGCAGCAGUGAGGAAUUUUCGUCAAUGGGGGCAACCCUGAACGAGCAACGCCGCGUGCAGGAAGAGGUUUUCGGAUCGUAAACUGCUUUUCUCGGGAAGAGAACGGACGGUACCCGAGGAAUCAGCCCCGGCUAACUACGUGCCAGCAGCCGCGGU